rnacentral:lncRNA from 1 species
CAGGGCGGGGCUCCACGUGGGGGUGGGGCCCAAUCAGAGGGCGGGGCUGGCCUGAGGGCGGGCUCUGGGAUUUUAAACUAGGCUUUUCCGGGUUCUUUACCUUGGCUUCCCCGUCCCGGACUCCCGUGGCGCUGGGCUCCUGCACAGCUUGUCCCGUCCCGGAGGAGCUCUGCCUUCUGGGACGCCCAGGACUGGGAGUGGGGAGCAUGGAGGAGUGUGGAGAGGGCGCCGAGCUGGAGCCCUGGAGGCCCCCCCAGGCCUAUGUGACGUUCAAGGAUGUGGCCGUGGACUUUACCUGGGAGGAGUGGAGGCUCUUGGACCCUCCCCAGAAGGAGCUGUACUGGGAGGUGAUGCUGGAGAACUACAGGAACCUGGUCUGCCUGGGUGAGGAGGGCUCCUCUGGGCCUUGGGAUCUGCCCAUGGAAGGGGAUCUGCUUCCUUCUUCUGGGCCCUUCUUCUGUCCAGGGUGCAGCUGGGAUUCUCUGGCCUGUAAUAGCCUGAGCACUUCUUAUGCUAACCAGGCCAGAAGCCAGGCUGUCCCUGCUGUGAAAGGCUCUUGUUAUGUUUGUCUAGGAAUGAAGGGCUUUACUGUGUGGUCCCAGCCCAGCUCUGCUCCCUCAGGCCACAGGGGCCUUCUCAAGGCUCAGGGGAAGUACUUGAAGUCAGCCAAGCUCCCAAUACCUCAGUAUUGAAUGGAUCAAAUGAACCCUUGUCUUUCAGAACCCCUCUCCAUUCCUUGUUCCAGUCCUGUCUCUUCCCAGGAAAACAAACCAGAGCAGCCUUGAGAUGUUUUCUCUAAGCACCUCCAUGGCACCCAGGCUCCUUUACUAGCUUGUUCCUAAUGGCCUGGGAGAUCAUCCUCCCUCUUCAUCUCUUUGCCCUUUCCCAUGACUAGGCUUUACUGAUUCAAACAAGGAUGUGAGGAUCUGUGAGCUGGAGUCAGGGGAACCACAUUGGAUUCCAACUGGUGGUGUCCUAAGAAGCUGCUGGCCAGGUGAGUGAGGGAGUGGAUGAGUGCCUGACCCUGGUGAGGACACAACAACCCAUACACAGCUCUCCUGGUCAUUCAUCUCUCAGCCCACAGAGAAUAGGCUCCUGGGUGAUCCCCUCAGUGACCUUCUGGGCCAGGAACUCCUCUCCCUGAUACAGAUCCCACAUAGAAUUCCUUCCUACCUCCUCCACUUUGAGUGAUUUUGCCUCAGAAGGUAUGGAUAGAAAUGAUCAUUAGGAGGGCAUCUGGAGAGCCAGGCCUAGAAAUAGGAGGACCUAGGUUCAAAUCUGGCCUCAGACACUUCCCAGCUGUAUGACCCUGGGCAAGUCACUUAACCCCCAAUGCUUAGCCCUUGGAACCAAUACACAGUAUUGAUUCUAAGACAGAAGGUAAAGGUUUUUUUAUUAAAACAAACAAACAAAAAAGAAAGAAAUGUUCAUGUUUGCUGGUGCCUUUAUGGUAUGGGAAAGCAAUUCCACUGGGAGUGAAGCUUUGAGUUGUUUCAGUCUUUUUUGGAAAGCAAAAUGGAAUUCUUCAGUGUCAGAGCUACACAUGAAUUCUUUUUCUUAGACGCCCUGAUCAUAUUCCCAUGACUCCUUCCAGAGGUCUAAUUCAGAUGAAGAUUUUGCUAGGUAUGUGUGGUCUGUCUGUAUAUGUAUAGUGGAUAUAAAGAAUAUAUAUAUAUAUAUAUAUAUACAUAU